rfam:Dipodomys ordii contig_34652, whole genome shotgun sequence.
GGGAAUGUGGCUUAGUGGUAGAGUGCUUGCCUGGCAUGCAUGAAGCGCUGGGUUCAAUUCCUCAGUACCA